UACGUAGGGUGCAAGCGUCGUCCGGAAUUAUUGGGCGUAAAGCGCGUGUAGGCGGCUUUGCAAGUCGGGUGUGAAAGCCCUCAGCUCAACUGAGGAAGUUGCGCCCGAAACUGCAGAGCUUGAGUGCCGGAGAGGGUGGCGGAAUUCCCCAAGUAGAGGUGAAAUUCGUAGAUAUGGGGAGGAACACCGGUGGCGAAAGGCGGCCACCCUGGACGGUAACUGACGCUGAGACGCGAAAGCGUGGGGAGCAAACAGG
rnacentral:rRNA from 1 species